GUAUAAGAUGGCAGCAACAAAUGUGGUUCACGGCUGACUGGUUGGCCUUGGCAGUGACUGAGAAAGUCAAUAUUUAAAAAGCAAUUUUUUUCCCCUCUGGCAAGAAGUGAUGUCAGUGUUGGAAGGAGGGAGGCAUGACAGGCUGGAUGGAACCUGCUUUUGUGAUAUGUGAGAUGUUCUCGAUGUGAAAUCGCUUGAUGAUUUUGUGAUUAAACCCCACGACUGCCUGUUUCUGAUUUUGCUCUGGAGCUCACUGAUAGCUCUGGAACUUGGGAUUUCUGAACACAUGGCCUUCAUCAUUGGGAAAGACUCAGUCUUACUAUGGAAUAUCUUGUGCUGCUUUACAGGCACCAGCUUAAGUCAGCUGAGUAGAAAAUAACAGGUUUCAACACAAACAUCUGUACAGACCUCACUCUGGAGAAAUUACUUUGCGUGGAACCCAGGAAAUUAGUUGGAAGAAUUUGUUCACUGUCUCUUUCAAGUUUUAACAGCUUUACUUAAGAACUCAACUAGCAGAUGAUUUCUUUCCAUUGCUUUCUAAAUCAAUCACAAAUGUCUCUUUGAGAAAAGACCAAUGAAAAUUAAGUAGUAGUAAGAAGAGACACACCAGUGAUUGCAAAGUGGAGAGGCUGGCUUCCCUCUGUUAUGGACUGGAUUCUGUACCCCCAAAUUCAUAGGUAAACCCUAACUCUCAAUGUGAUGGUAUUUGGAGAUAGGGCCUUGAAGGAGAUAAUUGAGGUGAAAGGAAAUCAUAAAGGUGGAGCCCUGAGCCAAUAUGACUAGUGUGCUCAUGAGAAGAGGAAGAGACACCAGGGAUGCGCACACCCAGAGAAAAGGCCAUGGGAGGACACAGCAAAAAGGUGGCCAUCUGCAAGCCAAGGAGAGAGGCCUCAGGAGAAAUCAAACCUGCCGACCCCUUGAUCUUGGACUUCCAGCCACCAGAACUGUGAGAAAAUAAAUGUCUGUAGUUUAAAACCACACGAUCUGUGCUAUUUUGUUAUGACAGCCCUAGCAGACUAAUAUAGCCUCCAAGUUAAGAGCCAAACUUCCUGUGAGUGCCCUGUCAUUGACCAAGUGGCUUCUAGAACCACUUCAGCCCAUGACUCCUCCACCAGACAUUGUCAGUGCGAAGAGAGUUUUAGGGCCACAGCCAUGAAGAGCUUGAAUGAAACCAGCAGAGCGUUGCAGGGCAGCCUCUGUUUGACCUUCCACUCGGGAAGGAUUAAUGGCCAGCCCUUUGUGUUAGGAGAGGAUGCUCUGGCCACAUGCAGCCAGACAUGGGGGAGUGUUGUUUCCCAGUUCCAGUGAUAGGUUGGCCUACGCUGGUCUCAUGCUCACACUUGGUUCUCCUAGGUCACAAGUUAGCAGGAAGUAAGCAGGGGGUCAGGGUAGGGCUAUUAUUGUUGGCUGAAGCAUAGACUAGAGCAAUUGAUCUGUACAGUAUUGGACCCACAUCUAACUCUGGGGCCCCAGUUGUCUUGGCUUUUUCCAGCUUUGAUUUCACUGCCUCUCUGAGAGUCAGUUUUUCCUACUAAUGGAAUGUUUUCAAAGUGAGCUCAAGCCCAUGCUCAGUGGGAAAUUCUUCCCUGAAAUCAUUUGUCACAGAAUCAUUUGGCCAUCUAAGACGUUUAUUAUCCUACUUACUGGCAGUAAGUUUCAUAGAAGAGCACAAGAUACUCUGUAGAUUUUUGUUCCCCUUAAAAAGCUGAUAUUCUAGAAUCUGUCCAACAU
rnacentral:lncRNA from 1 species